UGGGGAAUAUUGCACAAUGGGCGCAAGCCUGAUGCAGCCAUGCCGCGUGUAUGAAGAAGGCCUUCGGGUUGUAAAGUACUUUCAGUCGGGAGGAAGGUGUCAAGGUUAAUAACCUUGGCAAUUGACGUUACCGACAGAAGAAGCACCGGCUAACUCCGUGCCAGCAGCCGCGGUAAUACGGAGGGUGCAAGCGUUAAUCGGAAUUACUGGGCGUAAAGCGCACGCAGGCGGUUGAUUGAGUCAGAUGUGAAAUCCCCGGGCUUAACCCGGGAAUUGCAUCUGAUACUGGUCAGCUAUAGUAUUGUAGAGGGGGGUAGAAUUCCAUGUGUGGCGGUGAAAUGCAUAGAGAUGUGGAGGAAUACCGGUGGCGAAGGCAGCCCCCUGGACAAAGACUGACGCUCAGGUGCGAAAGCGUGGGGAGCAAACAGG
rnacentral:rRNA from 1 species